rnacentral:lncRNA from 1 species
ACCAAUUUUCCUCCUCACUUAACUGAAACUUAACUGUGCCCUAACCUUGCAACUAUGAUUGCCCAGGUUUACCAGAGUUAGUUAGGAUCCAAACUUCUAUACAACAACAAUCACAAUCGUCGAUAGGGAGGGGGGUCCAUUAAAGUUCUCCCAAAUUCUCAUUCAAUCACCUUCUUCUCCAACACUCUGAAAUCUAGUCUCCCUACAAGUUUCGUUCUACUCAUAUCCUCACACUCUUCACAUAUACAGGGAAACCACAGUCACAAGCAAGUGCAACUUACAGACUAGGAUGCGAGGGAGGAGGAGAAUGAGAAUUUUUUAUAUGUAAAUUGGACAAGCAUAACGAAGCUAACCUGAAGAAGUAGAAGGCCCUUUGAUAUUUUUCUAUCAACAUCAACAUCUUGAAGAACCGCCGGAGUUGCUCCGACAGGUAAGCUCCACCCCCUUUCUCCUUUGAUACGCAUUAAAAUAGCCAUUCUGAUAUAGAUUAUACUGAGGGGAAUCAAAUCCCUCUGGUUGUUGACUCGAAUUCCCAUAUAAUAGCGUUUAAUUUCAUCUUUCACACCCUAGGUUUCUUCGUCAAUUAGCAUGAUUUUGAGAAUUUUGUGAGGCAUUGGACGAAUUGAAGUUAGAUUGAAAGAAAUGACUCUUAGAGGUUCAAUUUGGUGGUGAUUGUUGUGUGAUUUGGCUCACUCUACCACCUCCGGUGCG